rnacentral:rRNA from 1 species
AACGAACGCUGGCGGCAUGCCUAACACAUGCAAGUCGAACGAGACCUUCGGGUCUAGUGGCGCACGGGUGCGUAACGCGUGGGAACCUGCCCUUAGGUUCGGAAUAACUCCCCGAAAGGGGUGCUAAUACCGGAUAAUGUCUUCGGACCAAAGAUUUAUCGCCUUUGGAUGGGCCCGCGUUGGAUUAGCUAGUUGGUAGGGUAAAAGCCUACCAAGGCGACGAUCCAUAGCUGGUCUGAGAGGAUGAUCAGCCACACUGGGACUGAGACGCGGCCCAGACUCCUACGGGAGGCAGCAGUGGGGAAUAUUGGACAAUGGGCGAAAGCCUGAUCCAGCAAUGCCGCGUGAGUGAUGAAGGCCUUAGGGUUGUAAAGCCCUUUUACCCGGGAUGAUAAUGACAGUACCGGGAGAAUAAGCGCCGGCUAACUCCGUG